rnacentral:lncRNA from 1 species
AAUUCUUAAGGCACUGGAAUAGCUAAUGUGUUACUGGCUGUUUACUGUGUUCCAGGUAGUGGGUCCAUGUGUGUGGAUUCUCUCUUGGCUAAGAAUUAAAGCCAGAAUACAAAAGCACUCUUCCUUUCCCUGUGUUUACCCUGAGGGACACAUUUCCAGGCUUGAGCCCUUUCUCAAGCCAGUGAAAGGUUUUUUAAGGGGAAAGGCUGAGAGAGGUGGUUACUGAAAAUGUUAGUGUCUGUAUUAAGCGAAAGCCGUAUUUCUGGACGUACGAUGUAGUUCUUCAUGAGAUUAUUGGUAGUGAAACCAGUCCAGCUCAUUUGAGCCUUUGGAGUAGGAGGUGCUGGAAACAGAUUAAGAUAGUCCUGGUCAUCUAGGAUCUAUGUCUAGUACAGUCCUUUGCACAUUUGACUGAGUGGUACUUUAAAUUCCUUUGCCUGAUAAGUUUUCUGCAAACCUCGGUCCACCUAAAACUGGGAUUUAGGGGUGCUGGUAACAUCCCACCAGGUGGUGCUGUAGCAGGAAAACUGCACCAAAGUAGCAGCCUGGAGAGGGAAAGUGAACUCAUUGACGUGUAACAUGUGCAGGAAAGUAUGCAGAGUAGCAAACUACCUCAGAGGAUGUCAUUGUCACUAUGCCCAGGCCCCCGGUGGAUGGUUUUCCGGCUUUCUUUUCUUUGCCUCACAUGAAGGUUCAGGUUUCUUGGUGUGAGCAUCUAGCCUUGUGGCCAGACUCAGCAGUGAUCUCCCACCCCUCAGUAGGCAAGCUGCUGAUGCUGGGCUACCAAAAUCAUGUGCAAAAUGACCCUUUGGACUCACUCGUGGAAAUAAAGGCUUUUGGCAGUGUGGAAGCAGGUGCUGCAGCCUUCAUAGACUUUUCACCAGAAGAUUACUGUCUGGUUCUGAAGCGUUAGGUUCUGUUAUUAGGAUUCCUGACAGCUAAUGACAGGUCUUACAGAAGUGAGGGGGCUGAUUGAACUGCAGUCACAUGCAGGAAAGCGCUCCUGCAUGUGAGAACUUGGGAAGAAGCCAAGAAGCCAGCAGGAUUGAGACCAACGGACAUUACUGUCUGUGGAGAACCAAGAAAAGCAUAGGAACUGGUGGGGUCAGGGACAGUGUUUAAAGGGGUUCUGUCCAUAGACAGUCUGGUUUUGCAAACCACCCUGUUGCAAAAGUUGCUGUAACCCACAGCAGAGUGUUAGCUCUGUGUAGGUAUUUGGAUCCUACACCCACCCACAGGUCAUUUAAUCCUCCCCACUUUUAGCUGAGAAGUGAGGCAGAGCAGAGAGAGGAUGGAGGAUACCUUUCUCUGCAGAGCAAGUUACAAAGGAAACUUCAAGGGGUUUGGGGGGGAAACUGGGCUUUGCAAAAUCAGAGGCCUGGGUUUAAAUGCUGGCACCAUCACUGGUGCUCUGAGAGGAUGGCUUUGAACCUUUCUGGUUCUCAGUUAUCUCACAGGGCAGUUGUAGGGGUUAAAGGAGAGCUAUAUAUCAGUGCAUUUCUCACUAUUUUAUCGUUGCAUAUGUUAUCUGGAGACAAAAACAGUUGUAAGCCCAGGCCUUCAGGUCAGGCUCUCUGGGGAAAUCAUUAAUAACUGACUUCAUCAUUACUGUAAGGGCCUUGAGCACAGGGCCCAUGCUUCUGCUUCUACGGGGAUGUGGGCAUAGCUGGGCAGGUAUCCCUUGCCCCAUAUUACCUGUGGGGAGUGGCCUUCUGUGCCAUCUUUCAACUAGCAGUCGUUUCUGAACUCCAGUGUGGCUGUGUAUAAAUGCAGCUGUUUUAUAUUAGUAAGGCUUGCCAGAGUAGGAAAACAUUUAUUUAGGUGUAUCAUUGAUGUUUUUCAAAUGGCUACUAAAUUCCCAAUUUUUUUUUUUUUGUUUUUUGUCUUUUGAGGGCUGUGCUCACAGCAUAAGGAGGUUCCCAGGCUAGGGGGUCUAAUCUGGCCUACGCCGGAGCCACAGCAAUGUGGGAUCCAAGCCGCGUCUGCGACCUGCACCACAGCUCACAGCAAUGCCGGAUCCUUAACCCACUAGCGAGGCCAGGGAUCGAACCUGCAACCUCAUGGUUCCUUGUCGGAUUUAGUUUCCACUGCGCCAUGAUGGGAACUCCCCCAGUUUGUUAUUCAUUAUAGCUAAGUUUGGAGUUCUGGUAGCCUAGUGGUUAAGGAUCUGGCAUUAUCACUGUGGUGAUAUGGGCCUCAUCCCUGGCCUGGGAACUUUAAUCACACACACACAAAGCUGCAUUUAUAACUUGAUAGGCAGCAUGGCCAUAGUGAGGAGCUAAUUGUGAAUAUCUCAUUUAAUUUUCCCAACCCUUUAGGGCAUAUUCCAUUACUAACUCCAUUAACUUUUGCAGUACAUUUUAGGGGAAUGUUUGCUUUCUCUUAGGCUUUGGAACAUACAGCUGACUCUUGAACAAUAGGAGUGUUAGGGGUGCAUCCACUCUCCAUAUAUGUGGUUCGUCCAUACCCUUUUCAUUCAGUAUCUGCAGAUUCAUCUAACCCCAGAUAGUGUGGUGUUACAGUUUUUAAGUAGUUCCCAGGCUAGGAGUUGAAUUGUAGCCAGCCGGUACCACAGCCAUAGCAACAACUAGAUCCAGGCCACAUCUGCGACCUAUACCACAGCUCAUGGCAACACUGGAUCCUUAGCUCACUGAGCGAGGCCAGGGAUUGAACCCGCAACCUCAUGGUUCCUAGUUUGAUUUGUUUCUGCUGCGCCACAGCAGGAGCUCCAAGGGUCAGCUGUAUUUAGAUUAUAUCGAGAUUACCACUUUUGAUUUGAGAACAAGUAAUGUGAGAGCCUAGGUUGGGAACAAUUUAUCUGACCCCAAACUCUUAUUUUUACAACAACAAGAAAGAUGGGAGACCUGUUGCUCUGAAAUUCAAAUGGAGCCAUGGCUUUGCUGCUCAGUCCUGUAUCAUAGUAACAGUUGUCCUUUGAGGGGUGAGGACGGCUGUGGUGAAUUCAUCCUGCCCUUACUGGCAGGCUAUUGACUGCCCCCAUGAUGAGCCAGCACCCAGCAGUCCUUCAGUGGUGAGCUAGAGGAGCUGGACUCAUUAAGUCCGAAGUAGUCUAAAUAGAAGUUAGGGCUCCAGUAACCUUUAAGAAUCUGCUUUUCAGGGGGAGGGAAGGGAGCACAUAGGCCCUGCAGCAGGGCUGCUCUCCAUCAGGGAGGGGCCGCUGAAGGAGAUGGUCUUCUGCUCACUGCUUUUACCCUCUGCAUACUAGGAAAAAUAGCCAUCACUCUUUACUGUUGGGGCCCGUGGUCACCCUCCCUUUUACGUUUUCAGUCACCUUACAGAUACUUUACAGAAGCAAGAGUAAAGGUAUCGUGAAAAGCAAUUUUAUUAUAAAUCCUAACAAGUACUAACAGCGUAACAAUAUACUAAAAACUGGAUUGCACCCUUCAAAUGGAUGAAUUUUAUGGUAUGUGAAUUGUAUCUCAGUAAAACUUUCAUUUGGGAGUUCCUUUGGUGGCUCAGUGGUAACAAACCCAGCUAGUAUCCAUGAGGACAUGGGUUCGAUCCCUGGCCUUGGUCAGUGGUUUAAGAAUAUGGCAUUGCCAUGAGCUGUGGUGUAGGUCGCAGGGGAGGCUUGGAUCUGGUGUGGCUGUAGUGUGGGCCUGCAUCUACAGCUUUGGUUCGAUGGCUAGCCUGGGAACCUCCUUAUGCUGCGAGUGUGGCCCUAAAAGACAAAAAAAAUUAAGCUGUCAUUCAUACAUACGUGUGUAUGCACACGUACAUGUAUAUAUGAGUUAAAACAGCAGACAACUUUCCAUUUUCUUUGUCUCAAAGGUACGUAGGUACACACCCCAAGUGAGCAGUGUCACUUGAAUGCAGUGAAAUGCUCAUCAGCUGCCAUGAAGUGAAAGUAUUCAUCUUGUAACUGCUGAUUCCAGAUUUCAGAUACAUCUCUAAUAAGCUCUGGCUUCUGGGGCCUUUUUGGUUUUGUUUUGUAUUUGAAUUGUCAACACAGUGCUUUAAAAAAAUUUGGUUGCUUAUAAUUUUGUUGAAGAGAGGACAGCCAUUUUCUUGGCUUUAUAAUUUUAAAAUAUUUCCACUUUGAGAUUUAUAAAGGUUAAUUCAAAUAACCAAUCCAAUGAAUUUUAAAAAUUUCUUCAGCCAUCUAUUUCCUGCCAUUCACCUUUGUAUACAACUGCCUUCAGCAUGUCUCUCCUAAUGAACUCAAACUAUCAAGUAAAUUUGGGGGCAUAGGCAUCAUAAAAGAUAUAUACAAUCCUACUACCUUUGAGCAAAACAGGAUAGUACAAGUUGUCAUAAAGAAUUGUGUGAUGAGGAGUUCCUGUCAUGGUUCAGUGGCUAAUGAAUCCGACUAGGAAUCAUGAGGUUGCAGGUUCGAUCCCUGGCCUUGCUCAGUGGGUUAAGGGAUCCAGCCUUGCCAUGAGUGGUGGUGCAGGGCAGCAGCUACAGCUCCGAUUUGACCCCUGGCCUGGGAACCUCCAUAUGCCAUGGAUAUGGCCCUAAAAAGACAAAAGGCAAAAAAAGAAAAAUUUGAUGAAUCUUUCUUUCCUCUUAACUGAUCGUAGUAGUGCCCUUAUUCACAAGGGGAUUUAUCCCAGGACCUCAGGGGAUGCCUGAAGCCGUGGAUAGUGUGGAACUCUGUAAAGACUGCUUUUUUUUCCUAUACUAACAGGUGGGUGGUAUGUACAGCAUGGAGGUAUUUUAUAUAUAUAAAAGAACCCAACAAAUCCAUGUAGUGAUUGCAAAAUAGAUUUUUUAAUUUUUUUUCAAGAAAUAAGGAGUUACUGUUGUGGAUCAGUGGAAACAAACCCAACUAGUGUCCGUGAGGGUGGGGGUUCCAUCCCUGGCCUCACUCAGUGGGUUAAGGAUUUGACAUUGCUGCAGCUGCUGCUGAAGUGUAGGUAACAACUGCGGCUCAGGUCUGAUCCCUGGCCCAGGAGCUCCAUAUGCCACGGCAUGG